rnacentral:rRNA from 1 species
CGGCAACAGCUCAAAUUUGAAAUCUGGCUUCGGCCCGAGUUGUAAUUUGUAGAGGAUGCUUUUGGCAAGGCUCUUUCUGAGUCCACUGGAACGUGGCGCCAUAGAGGGUGAGAGCCCCGUAUAGUUGGAAGCCAAGCCUGUGUAAAGCUCCUUCGAC